rnacentral:lncRNA from 1 species
AUACUCAAUAGAUACAAUACCUUCAGGUGGAUCUACUAAGGACCAAACCUAGUUGGAAUGCAUGAAAAUAAUUUCUAACUUCAUUACUUUCAUACAUUUUUCAAAGUCUACAUCUAACAUUACCUCAUCAUAGAUUUUGGGACCAUUCCUAAUAUCCCUAUCUCCUACAACGAAUACUUUCUCUAAAUCCUCUGUAAGAAUACCUAAGUACCUUUCAAG